CGGGCUAUAGCGCAGUCUGGUAGCGCGUUCGUCUGGGGGACGAGAGGUCGUAGGUUCGAACCCUACUAGCCCGACCA
rnacentral:tRNA from 1 species